rnacentral:tRNA from 1 species
GCCAGCAUAGCUCAGUUGGUUAGAGCGGGAGAAUCAUAAUCUCCAGGUCGUUGGUUCGAUUCCAUCUGCUGGCA